rnacentral:lncRNA from 1 species
UGCCUCCCAGGGCAGAGAGGACCGCAGUCCAGUCCUCAACCUGUGCGAAAGGUUUGGGGAAAUGACAACUGAGUUUCCAGCACACGUCAGUGCAAAGCAGCUUAUUCCAGGUGCCCAGCAGCCCCACGUGGCCAGUGGCCACCACACUGAAGCGCAGCUCGGAGGACUCUGACUGCCCUGAGCUGAGGGAGGUGACGGGUCUGAAACACUCUUUUCUGCCAGAAGUUAGGGGACACCUCCUCCCUCCCAACAGCUCUCUUCAGGCCCAAGAGUGAGAGAUGGUGCCUCUAGAGGGCAGGGGCUACAAGAACAAAGUGUCCACAGGUUUCCCUGCUGCCCACCUGCUGCCCAUCGUCUUUCCAGAGAUCAGAAAAUGAACAAAGGAUGAUGGGGCCCCCAAAAGGAGGAAACCCAGUGUCUUCAGAUCUGUCCACAGCCUUGACCUACGAAGUUUAGAUAUGGAGGGAAUAGAUUAAAGGCACACUUACUUUGCUAUUUGGCCUUGACCCUAACGGUCAGGCUGUGUACAUUUGUUUCCUCACAUGCUGUGGAGGACUGCGUAGUUUAAGCACCAAUUACAUGCAGACAUGUCUACAUGCAUUUCUGUGUAACUCGAUGCCAUCAAGCAAGAGGCCCAACUUUAAAUAAGAGGAAAAGAAAAUCAGCAACUGUAGGGUGUCUUCUGUUUGCAGGCUAGCACAGACUUGCUCUUAUGGAAAUGGUAGAAUUCUGAAAGAAAAACAAAGCAUUCAAGAACUUUUGAGCCUAAGCCCCAAGCUGGCACACUGUUAUGUUUGCAGUCUUCUAUUGGCCACAGCAAAUAAGGCCAGCUGAGAUCCAAGGUUUGGGAAACAGAGUCUGCUUCUUAAUGAGAACAUCUGUACAAGCACACUGCAAAGGGUCUGGAUACAGGGAAGGAUGAUGAAUUGAUGCCAUUUUUGCAAGAUGGAUCCAUUUCAACAAUGGCUUCAGAGAGAAGAUGAAGAAACAAAUGAGGGCCUGUUGAAGCCUAAUGGGGUAAGGGGAAUUUGAGAUUGUGGAAGAAUGGCAGCCAGAUCAUGAGGUCAAGAGAUCGAGAUCAUCCUGG